UUCCACCAAACGUCAUCAGCUGUUUUGAAUGCUGUUUUGAUGCCAUGAAAAUAUUUAGAACACAGUCAGAUUGCAGUUAGAGUCCAUCUUGA